UAGGGAAUCUUCGGCAAUGGACGAAAGUCUGACCGAGCAACGCCGCGUGAGUGAAGAAGGUUUUCGGAUCGUAAAACUCUGAUGUUAGAGAAGAACAAGGACGUUAGUAACUGAACGUCCCCUGACGGUAUCUAACCAGAAAGCCACGGCUAACUACGUGCCAGCAGCCGCGGUAAUACGUAGGUGGCAAGCGUUGUCCGGAUUUAUUGGGCGUAAAGCGAGCGCAGGCGGUUUCUUAAGUCUGAUGUGAAAGCCCCCGGCUCAACCGGGGAGGGUCAUUGGAAACUGGGAGACUUGAGUGCAGAAGAGGAGAGUGGAAUUCCAUGUGUAGCGGUGAAAUGCGUAGAUAUAUGGAGGAACACCAGUGGCGAAGGCGGCUCUCUGGUCUGUAACUGACGCUGAGGCUCGAAAGCGUGGGGAGCAAACAGG
rnacentral:rRNA from 1 species